AUGAUGAAGGGGUGCUACCUGGGCCACUACCCAGACCACUCACCUAAGCCUAACAUCAAAAGCCGGAAGCCCCGGCCGAGCCACAUACCGGGUCUGGGGCACAAACCGGUCCGACGCACUCGUGUGUCGUCGCCGCCAUCUUUCACAGGUCCGUCUUCAGAGCAAAUAUUGAGGCUUCUACCUUGUCUGGCCACUCAGCCAUCGACGUCACCACGACACCAGACAGCUUCGUCCUCCUGCGCGAGUCCAUCGUCACACAUCGAACGCCGAAUCUCCACUGCGCCACGCCGCCGAGAUACGCCGCCAUCAAUGAGUAGGAUGAAGCACCGCUCCGCCGAGUCCGGCAAGGCUGCUGAAGACCAAGCACCGUGGAAGAAGGACUCUGAGGCUGAGCACAUAGGCGGCAGAGCGCCAACGCACCGCCACCAGACGAACUCCGACCACGCCACCAACCGCCGCCAAGCAACCAAAGCAUCACAUCCAUCCCAAGCUCACCACGAACGACACCCCCAAGAGGGUGACGACGCCCGGAGCGCCGCUGUCGCUCGAUCCGGCAAGGAUUUGGGCUUUCGCCCGUCAUACGAGCUGGGUGGAAGGAAGAGGGGAAGGAGACCACCUGGACGGCGCCUACAAGAAGGGUACGGCGCCCUCGGGCGUCGCCGCCGUCGUGGCCAGCACUGCUGGCCUCGGAUUUCUCCGGAGCCACCUCCCACCUCCAGCCGCCAAACAGGUACAACUCCGGCGACAAAGGCCGCCCAAAGCAGGACCAUCGGAGGCAGCCCUGGUUGA
rnacentral:rRNA from 1 species